rnacentral:rRNA from 1 species
AAGUGCGAUCAUACCAGUACUAAUGCAUCGGAUCCCAUCAGAACUCCGCAGAUAAGCGUGCUUGGGCGAGAGUAGUACUAGGAUGGGUGACCUCCUGGGAAGUCCUCGUGUUGCACCUCUUG